rnacentral:ribozyme from 12 species
GAAGGACACAAAGGAUCAAAAAGACGAAGAUUGAAGCGAUGAAUGCGAACGGAUUUAACGAAAAGCGCGCCAUUAUUUCUUCUUUUUCUUCUUCUUCUUCUUCCUCUUCCUCU